rnacentral:rRNA from 1 species
UUCGCUGACGAGUGGCGGACGGGUGAGUAAUGUCUGGGAAACUGCCUGAUGGAGGGGGAUAACUACUGGAAACGGUAGCUAAUACCGCAUAAUGUCGCAAGACCAAAGAGGGGGACCUUCGGGCCUCUUGCCAUCGGAUGUGCCCAGAUGGGAUUAGCUUGUUGGUGGGGUAACGGCUCACCAAGGCGACGAUCCCUAGCUGGUCUGAGAGGAUGACCAGCCACACUGGAACUGAGACACGGUCCAGACUCCUACGGGAGGCAGCAGUGGGGAAUAUUGCACAAUGGGCGCAAGCCUGAUGCAGCCAUGCCGCGUGUAUGAAGAAGGCCUUCGGGUUGUAAAGUACUUUCAGCGGGGAGGAAGGGAGUAAAGUUAAUACCUUUGCUCAUUGACGU